rnacentral:rRNA from 1 species
CCGGAGAAUGUUAUCACGGGAGACACACGGCGGGUGCUAACGUCCGUCGUGAAGAGGGAAACAACCCAGACCGCCAGCUAAGGUCCCAAAGUCAUGGUUAAGUGGGAAACGAUGUGGGAAGGCCCAGACAGCCAGGAUGUUGGCUUAGAAGCAGCCAUCAUUUAAAGAAAGCGUAAUAGCUCACUGGUCGAGUCGGCCUGCGCGGAAGAUGUAACGGGGCUAAACCAUGCACCGAAGCUGCGGCAGCGACGCUGAUGCGUUGUUGGGUAGGGGAGCGUUCUGUAAGCCUGCGAAGGUGACCUGUGAGGGUUGCUGGAGGUAUCAGAAGUGCGAAUGCUGACAUAAGUAACGAUAAAGCGGGUGAAAAGCCCGCUCGCCGGAAGACCAAGGGUUCCUGUCCAACGUUAAUCGGGGCAGGGUGAGUCGACCCCUAAGGCGAGGCCGAAAGGCGUAGUCGAUGGGAAACGGGUUAAUAUUCCCGUACUUGGUGUUACUGCGAAGGGGGGACGGAGAAGGCUAUGUUGGCCGGGCGACGGUUGUCCCGGUUUAAGCGUGUAGGUGUGUGUUCCAGGUAAAUCCGGUUCACUUUAACACUGAGGCGUGACGACGAGGCACUACGGUGCUGAAGCAACAAAUGCCCUGCUUCCAGGAAAAGCCUCUAAGCAUCAGGUAACAUCAAAUCGUACCCCAAACCGACACAGGUGGUCAGGUAGAGAAUACCAAGGCGCUUGAGAGAACUCGGGUGAAGGAACUAGGCAAAAUGGUGCCGUAACUUCGGGAGAAGGCACGCUGACACGUAGGUGAAGUGAUUUACUCAUGGAGCUGAAGUCAGUCGAAGAUACCAGCUGGCUGCAACUGUUUAUUAAAAACACAGCACUGUGCAAACACGAAAGUGGACGUAUACGGUGUGACGCCUGCCCGGUGCCGGAAGGUUAAUUGAUGGGGUCAGCGCAAGCGAAGCUCCUGAUCGAAGCCCCGGUAAACGGCGGCCGUAACUAUAACGGUCCUAAGGUAGCGAAAUUCCUUGUCGGGUAAGUUCCGACCUGCACGAAUGGCGUAAUGAUGGCC